rnacentral:tRNA from 1 species
GCGCUGUUAGUCUAGUGGUAGGAUUCUGGCCUUCCAAGCCAGCGACCCGGGUCCGAAUCCCGGACGGCGCACCA